rnacentral:rRNA from 1 species
ACUCCUACGGGAGGCAGCAGUGGGGAAUAUUGCACAAUGGGCGCAAGCCUGAUGCAGCCAUGCCGCGUGUAUGAAGAAGGCCUUCGGGUUGUAAAGUACUUUCAGCAGUGAGGAAGGUGGAUAUGUUAAUAGCAUAUUCAUUUGACGUUAGCUGCAGAAGAAGCACCGGCUAACUCCGUGCCAGCAGCCGCGGUAAUACGGAGGGUGCGAGCGUUAAUCGGAAUUACUGGGCGUAAAGCGCAUGCAGGUGGUUUGUUAAGUCAGAUGUGAAAGCCCGGGGCUCAACCUCGGAAUUGCAUUUGAAACUGGCAAACUAGAGUACUGUAGAGGGGGGUAGAAUUUCAGGUGUAGCGGUGAAAUGCGUAGAGAUCUGAAGGAAUACCGGUGGCGAAGGCGGCCCCCUGGACAGAUACUGACACUCAGAUGCGAAAGCGUGGGGAGCAAACAGGAUUAGAUACCCUGGAGGCUGUGC